ACAUUGAAGGCAACCAACCAAAUAAAACCCUCUUUAAAAGUAGAGUAUGAGAGGAUCAAGACGAGAAGCAACCACUGGAUGAAUGCGGUUAAGGUGUCAUAGUAAGGGAAGAACCUGAAACCAGAGUUGGAGACGAGCCGAGGAAAGGUGUUGGAUUGGCUUAGCAAGCCAUCAGGCUUAAUGCUUUAAGGCUCUCAUUUUUUGUUCCCGAUAAUGUGUACUCAUGUAAAGUAUCUAAAACUAUGAUGAAGCCAACUUAGAAACAUGUAUUUUGUAUGAAUCUCUCGACUCAAAUGAGUGGGUUAUCGGUAACUCCUACAAGUCCAGGUAUAUUCCCAGUGGCGAGCGUCUACACAAACAUGGACUAUCUUUUCUGGAGGAAAAAUAAUAUCAUUGUACCAGACCAAGACAGAGAUCCUUAUCCCUGGAUAAUAUGGUAUAUUUGGGAGGCUCGCAAUGAUAAGCUUUUCAGGGGUAUAGAUAGAGACCCUUUGGAACUCGUUCGAUACGCAGAGAGUGAAUGCCAAGCCUGGUUUAACGCAAAUGAGAUGAUACCGCCACAAGUCCGGGACGGCAAUAAUGAUGUAAGCCAAGUCUUAAGCUUGGGUAAUAUCUGCUUGCUAGAUGGAUCUUGGACAGCUUCUGAUCGCUUUAGUGGAUGUGGAUGGGUCUGGAUGGAUAGUAGGGAGGACAUACAACUUAUGGGAACACGAAACUUUACUCGAUCUGAAUCAGCGUUGCAUUCGGAGGUAGAAGCGCUGCGAUGGGCGAUGGAGAACAUGCUUCAACACUUGCCGUGCUAGAGCUUUGGAACGGACUGCAAAGAGCUGAUCGCAAUGAUAAAUGAACCCCAGAAGUGGCCAAGAUUUGCGACAGAGCUGGAGAAGAUAGAGACGCUGCAGAUUUGUUUUCCGGAUUUCAAAAUCACCCAUGUACCACGUCUGUGCAAUCAGUUUCCUGAUUUUUUAGCUAAGACUGCUAGGAGCUUUCAUAGGGAGCUACUUUUCAUUGGUUGUUCUAUUCCGGUCUAGGUAAGGUCUGGUUACCCAGACCAUCUCAAGCUUGAGUAAUAGAAUGGCCGUUUGACGUCAAAAAAAAAAAAAAAAGAGUGGGUUAACAAACAAACAGCUUGAGAUGUAUCUUAAUGAAUGGGUUAACGCCAUAGAUGAAAGAAAUGGUGAAUAAUUACACUUUUACCGUAAAUGAUUUCCAUAGCAUACCAAAUGGAAUCUAACUCUUUCGUAUAAAUAUGGUGCAGAGGAGAAUGCACAAACUCAACAAGCUACUAUAAAGCCAUAUCCACAGCAAGAGCAAGUCUUCUCUAGCCACAACAAUUCUCACAAGCCACAGUGGUUGUAAGCAUGAACAAUAGUGAAUGUUCAAAAAAACACUAGACAGUACUAAUUAUGCAUUUUGAUUAAUGUUUAAACGGGCUAUUUUUAAGAAUUAGUGUAGGUGCAGCUGCACUGGACCAGUCGAUCCCUAAACUCUCUCACAAAAGAGAAGAAAAAAAAGGCCUAAUCGAAAAUCCUAAUAAUUCAAUGUCCGCCGCAAGCCGAGCAUCCGCCGCCGCGUCAAAGCUCUCCACCGGUCCCAAACCUAUGCCGGCGGCAUCAUCUCGGUCUGCGUUUUGGAUGCCUAAACAGAGCCCUCUUUCAAACCGCAUUUUCAGGCAAGCCAGUGAGAACCAUCCCGAAACACUGAUGAUUAGCUCCAAUCUGAAUGAAUUCUUUUGUGUUGGGACUGAAAGAUCUCCUGUAGUACUGAGCUGCUGCGUGGAGACGAUGCUCCCUUACCACACGGCCACUGCUUCCGCCUUGCUCAACUCGAUGCUCUCCGCUUCGCGCCGUGGUUGGAUCGUUGAAGGUCUACACGAGACUAGAUGAAGAUGAAUCAACAAAACUUGUAUUGCAAUGAUGAUGUUGUAUGAUCGAUGAUUACUGGGGAGAGGUCCGCGAUGCAUUCAGUCUAAAAGACAAGCUUCUUGGUUUCUUGAACAUGAACGUAGGGCAGUGGCAGUUUAUAAAAGAAACAAUUUGCGUCUCUUUGGUCACAAAUAAAAGUUUGUAGGUCUCUUUUGUUUUUCCUGUGGUGAAAGUUUCUAAUGGAGUGCAUGCAUCGUUUGUUUAUGGUGUGUUGUAGAUGGAUGACUCACCUUCUCGCCAUUGCAGUAAAAAGAGGAAGUGUGUUUAAGACCACAUUGUUUUGAUUCUUGAACCAUAAGAAUUAAGAGGUGUUUUUGCUUAUAAACAUUUUACUAGAUAUUGAUAAAUAAAACAUGGAAGUAUCAUUGCUCUCUGAAAGCUCUUUCCGUUGUAUAAAUCAAAUACUAUAAGAUACAGAUUGGGUCAAUUUGCUGUUUA